CCUGUCUGUCUUUUCUUCUUACCUUCAGGGACUCAGACUCUCCUCCAGGUUUAUCUGAAGAGUUCUCAUGGAGACAUUUGUUUUGAAAACAUCUUGAGUGUUAUCUAGUGAGUCCAGUUUGAGCCUAGAAUUCCAGUUUCCCAUUGUGCUCACCAAGGGGAAGCUGUCUUUCAGAGGCCAGAACAGCUCUGUGACAUCGUGCCUCUUUAGUUUAAGCUACAGGGCUUCUACAAGUCUUGGAAGGCUGCCUAACUUUUUAGAAGUACACUCUCUCCAUCUUUCAGAUAGCAUUGAGUUGUGUCUGUUAGGGAUCAAAAAACCCUAUAAUUUAUUUAGGUCUUACCUUUUUUUUUUUUUUUUUUUUUGUUACCGGGGAUCAAACUUGGGUCCUUGCGCUUGCACAGCAGGCGGCGAAACCACUGAGCUAAAUCCCCGGCCCUAGGUCUUGUGCCAUGUGGUGAACCCCUCUGACACACGUGCCAAAACUUCUCUCAUUGCUUGAGUCUUUAAUUUCAGUUGUUGAAAAGUGCCACAUGUCACUAAGCAGCAAAGCAUUUGCACUUUCGAGAACACUGGUAUCACCUGAUCAGUCAUGACAUCGUCUGAUGGCUGGAGGUGAAUCCUGGGUACAGAGGGUCCCUGUUCUUGGUGCAGCAGUUGUUGCAGGCUUUUCUGAGAGACAGCACUGAUCAGUCACAGACCAAUGCUGACCAGUGGGUCCAAGCAAAAUGCUUUCUUCCCAGCUCUAGAAGAGGUUUUGUGUGUGUUCGGUUAUUCAGUUACCACUGGCAGUUCUUUCUCGUUACAGUAAGAGUAAUUCAUUGGCUGCUGAGAAAAGCUUCCACAGAAGCAGCCUUUGCAUUGCAGGGCUCCCCGCUCCUGGCCACUUUGUUUUCAGCAACUGGCCUUUGGCUGGGGGUCAUUUUCCCCAUGUUUCCGUUCUCCAUCUGUUCACUGGAUCCUUGUUCUUUGUUCUCAUCAUUCAUUGGUCAGAAGUUAUCAGGAGAGCUGGAAGGAAGAGGAAGUGCAGCAGCCGUGGAAAGAACCUCUUUAAAUUCCCCAUUCACCGUUCUCUCUGCUCUUUGGCUUUGCAAACUGCAUCCAUGCUUCCCAGUGUGUCCCCCUUUGCCCCAGGUGCAGUGGUGUUAGUUGACUGCGGCUGGGCCUUGGCAUUUCCUGGAAGGAGAUCAUCAGUCAUCUUAGGCAGGGAGCCCAGAUUCUCCCUUCCAGGGUUGGAUUGUUAAUCUUUUAAGCCAAAGUAUCUGCUCUCUUCCUGUUCUUUGUUGUCUUUAUGAAGCAUUGAUUUUCCAUGAAUGACUCUGGCUGUGAUUUUUGUUUCAACACCUCAAUCCUGUCUGUAUACAUUGGAAGACCACAAAGGAUGCAUCUGCCAUGAGCCUCCCUCUGGAACAGCCUUCACCAUACUGCCAGCCAAAGUCCCCACUGCCAGGCCUCUCCUGUGCUCCUGUCUCGUGGGUACAGUAUUCCUUCCCAGUGUCCCUAAAGCUGUGAUGGAGAGUCCCCACUCACCUAAGCAUUACUGGUCAGCUACGUGGCAUUCUCACAUGUGAACCUUGUGUAGCGUUCUUUUUUGCAAUGACCUAUUUAUUGAACCUAUUUAUAUUUAUUUAAUUUUUACUCUGAAGUGUAUCCAGUUACAUUUGCACUUGCUUAAAAGCACAUCAGAUCUAUUUUGGACAACACCUUUGACCAUUUUAAAACUGGAAAGGAAGAGUUAUACUGUAUCCUUCCAUGGGAUGGAAGCCUUGUCUUUAAAGGGUGAAUAAUCUGGUCGGGGUAAAAUGCUAAUUUUUAAGUGAUUUUUUUUUUUUUAAUCAUGUGCCAUUGUGUCUUCUCUGUGGACAGUUGUUUUAAUUGAUAUGUGUUAGUUGUGUGAUACAAUCCUCUUUGUGGAACCUAAAAUUCUCUUUUUAACUUUAUAUUUUAUAAACUGCCAGAUUGUAUAAUUUUUAUGUGUAUUUUUAAAGCUUGAUGAUAUGAGAGUCAUUAUCUAAAGUUAAAAGGCCUAUUUUUGUACCUCUUGUACAGUUUUAUAAUUCUGAUUAAUGAUGGCAUCUUACAUUUAGCCAACCACAAAUAAAGGUAGUUUAGAUAUGGG
rnacentral:lncRNA from 1 species